CCUACGGGUGGCAGCAGUGAGGAAUAUUGGUCAAUGGCCGCAAGGCUGAACCAGCCAAGUCGCGUGAGGGAUGACGGUCCUAUGGAUUGUAAACCUCUUUUGUCAGGGAGCAAAGUGCACCACGUAUGUCGCUUUGCGAGUACCUGAAGAAAAAGGAUCGGCUAACUCCGUGCCAGCAGCCGCGGUAAUACGGAGGAUGCGAGCGUUAUCCGGAUUUAUUGGGUUAAAGGGGUGCGCAGGCGGAAUAUCAAGUCAGCGGUAAAAUUUCGGGGCCCACCCCAGUCGUGCCGUUGAAACUGGCGUUCUUGAGUGAGGGAGAGGUAUGCGGAAGGCGGGGUGUAGCGGUGGAAUGCAUAGAUAUCACGAAGAACUCCGAUUGCGAAGGCAGCAUACUGGAGUUCAACUGACGCUGAUGCUCGAAAGCGUGGGUAUCGAACAGGAUUAGAUACCCGGGUAGUC
rnacentral:rRNA from 1 species